UAAAUGCAAUAACCACACAAUCUUUAAAGAAAAUAGGGAUAAAAUAAGAGACAAGGCAUUGCUUCUCCAUUUUACAAGAAUAUGAGGACAAUAUUUCGGAAAAUAGCAGAAAACUGAGACGAUUUGCAACAGUUCAAGCUCCGUAGAUCAAUCACUGCACUGUAAUUCCAGGCCAGCUGUCCAGAGUUUCAGGCGUAAAGAGUGAAUAAAUAAAAAAUGCAUCAUUUCUCCACAGGGCCUAGCAAUUCCCAGAUGUUGGAAAAUGGAUUCAUUCAGGCAGCAAGUUAAUCCAUCAUUUAAGGAAAAUGAAUUCAUUUUAUCCACAAGAACAUGAGGUGAUGGAAAUAAUUUGCACCUGCCCAGCAUUCCUACAGUCUGUCAUUGGAUUUGAAAAGAAAUGUUUAUUAAAUAAAUUUUCUAGAUAAAUAAUAA